AAGGGAGGAAAGAGAAAUUCAGAAAAAUUUUCAGAAAAUUAAGGGAGGAAAGAGAAAAGCUUUGAAAUUCAAAAACCUAAGAGAAAUUGAAGAUCCCCACCACCGACCACCGCAAGAGCACGGCACCACCGAGUCACCGACCGUCGGAUUUCUCGCCGCAACACCGCCACAGCGCCACUACCGUCAAGACGUCAACACCUGAAGAAAUUUCUGAAAUUCUGCAAAUUAAAUCACAAACGAAUUCUACUUAGUCCUAGUUUAUCUCUAUCAAAAUUUUUGUACUUCAAAAUUCAAUGGAGUAACAAGCUGAGGAUAACGAAAACCCCAGUCAAAACCCUCUGUUUCUGAUAUGGGGAGGUGCAUAAAAAAUCUAGAUACCUCAAAUGGGAAGAUGAAGUGAUGCCAAAGUUGAUGUCGGGCAUAACUUUCGAUUUGCUGGAAAGGUAGAUCUUAGGGGGUGUUUGGUAUGGAAAUUUAUAAUGUAACAAACGUAAACAAAUAAGUGUUUCCAUUUCUAUUAGUUUGGUAUGAGGUACAAGUAACAAAUACCGUUACAAAGGGUAAUAAAAUCCCCUAAAUUGAUACUAUGAUCA